GUGUGUGUGGAUGUGUGUGUGUGUAUGUGUAUAUAUAUAUAUAUACACAUACACACACACACAUCCUU
rnacentral:miRNA from 1 species